AAACUACCCUAUGGAUCCGAAUAACCUCGGGAAACUGAGGCUAAUAUGGAAUAGCGUUCAUCGCCUGGAGUGGCACGAACGCGAAACGUUACGGCGCCAUAGGAUGUGGCUGCGGCCGAUUAGGUAGACGGUGGGGUAACGGCCCACCGUGCCCAUAAUCGGUACGGGUUGUGAGAGCAAGAGCCCGGAGACGGUAUCUGAGACAAGAUACCGGGCCCUACGGGGCGCAGCAGGCGCGAAACCUUUACACUGCACGCGAGUGCGAUAAGGGGACUCCGAGUGCGAGGGCAUAUAGUCCUCGCUUUUCACGACCGUAAGGUGGUCGUAGAAUAAGUGCUGGGCAAGACCGGUGCCAGCCGCCGCGGUAAUACCGGCAGCACGAGUGAUGACCGCUAUUAUUGGGCCUAAAGCGUCCGUAGCUGGCCACGCAAG
rnacentral:rRNA from 1 species